GGUAGUGUGGCCAAGUGGUCUAAGGCGCUGGAUUUUAGGCUCCAGGCUCUCUAGCGGCAUGGGUUCAAAUCCCACUGCUGCCA